AGGCGAACAUUUGAAACAUGCUUGGCUAGAAGCGCCAACAAAAUUAAUGCUGAGCAUGAUAGAGGAAAUUCGUCCCAAAGUUGGGAAAUCUGCGACACUCCGCAAUAAAACGAAGAUGUGGAAAGCAAUUGAGGACAGCAUGAGAGAGCAAGGCUACAAUUUCACAGCAGUACAAAUAGAAAAUAAAUUUCGAAGCCUUGAACCAAAAAAGUAAUUUAAAAUAACGCGCAGACUGGGAGAAGUCGACAAAGUUGUCCUUAUCAGAGCGAACUGGAUGAAAUAUUGGGGGAAAAGGCCUCAUUGAAUCCGGUAUUCCUCUGGGAAAGUAGCCAGGUGGAUACAAGCGGGGACACCAGCAAUUUGAAUGAGUCCAAUUCCGAACUCACAUCGGAAAAUGACCAAGCAGAUGAUGUGCCGAGUUAUUCAAGGAAGCGGAAGAGACCGAAUUCCAAUGACCAGCUGCAAAAAACCUUGAGUGGAAUGGCAGAAGAAAGAAA